UACGGAGGGGGCUAGCGUUGUUCGGAAUUAUUGGGCGUAAAGAGCUCGUAGGCGGCCUGUUACGUCUGCUGUGAAAUCCCGGGGCUUAACCCCGGGCGUGCAGUGGAUACGGGCAGGCUGGAGGCAGGCAGGGGAGAACGGAAUUCCCGGUGUAGCGGUGAAAUGCGCAGAUAUCGGGAGGAACACCGGUGGCGAAGGCGGUUCUCUGGGCCUGUACUGACGCUGAGGAGCGAAAGCGUGGGGAGCGAACAGG
rnacentral:rRNA from 1 species